CAGUGAAUUGUAAUACGACUCACUAUAGGGCGAAUUGGGCCCUCUAGAUGCAUGCUCGAGCGGCCGCCAGUGUGAUGGAUAUCUGCAGAAUUCGCCCUUCAGGCCUAACACAUGCAAGUCGAACGCCCUCUUCGGAGGGAGUGGCAGACGGGUGAGUAACACGUGGGAACGUGCCCGAAGGUACGGAACAACUCCGGGAAACUGGAGCUAAUACCGUAUGUGUCCGCAAGGAGAAAGAUUUAUCGCCUUCAGAUCGGCCCGCGUCAGAUUAGCUAGUUGGUGGGGUAAAAGCCUACCAAGGCGACGAUCUGUAGCUGUUCUUAGAGGAAGACCAGCCACACUGGGACUGAGACACGGCCCAGACUCCUACGGGAGGCAGCAGUGGGGAAUCUUGGACAAUGGGCGCAAGCCUGAUCCAGCCAUGCCGCGUGGAUGACGAAGGCCUUAGGGUUGUAAAAUCCUUUCAGCGGGGACGAUAAUGA
rnacentral:rRNA from 1 species